rnacentral:rRNA from 1 species
UACAAGUGGUGCUAGCGUUAUUCGGAUUUAUUGGGCGUAAAGGGUACGUAGACGGCGUGUUAAGUUAGUUGUUAAAUCUCUCGACCUAACCGAGAUCAAGCAAUUAAUACUGGCAUGCUAGAGGGUGGAAGAGAGAAGUGGAAUUCUCGGAGUAGCGGUAAAAUGCGUAGAUAUCGAGAGGAACACCGAUGGCGAAGGCAGCUUCUUGGUCCAUCCCUGACGUUGAGGUACGAAAGCGUGGGUAGCAAACAGG